AAUGAACGUUGGCGGCAUGGAUUAGGCAUGCAAGUCGAGCGAGAAGGGUUUUGAAGCUUGCUUUAGAACCCGGAAAGCGGCGCAAGGGAGAGUAACGAGUAGUUAUCUACCCCAAGGCCCGGAAUAGCUGCGGGAAACUGCAGGUAAUGCCGGAUAAUAUCCCCGGAUCAAAGGUGUGAUUCCGCCUUGGGAGGAGACUGCUUUGUACUAGCUAGUUGGUAGGGUAAUGGCCUACCAAGGCUACGAUGCAUAGCGGGCGUGAGAGCGUGGCCCGUCUCACUGGGACUGAAACACUGCCCAGACACCUACGGGUGGCUGCAGUCGAGAAUCUUCGGCAAUGGGCGAAAGCCUGACCGAGCGAUGCCGCGUGCGGGAUGAAGGCCCUCGGGUUGUAAACCGCUGUCGUAGAGGAGAAAGGUCUGAUGAAGAAUCAGAUUUGAUCUAUUCUAGGAGGAAGUCGGGGCUAAGUUCGUGCCAGCAGCCGCAGUAAUAC
rnacentral:rRNA from 1 species